GUCGAGGGGCAGCGGGGAGCAAGCUUGCUUGCUCUGCCGGCGACCGGCGCACGGGUGAGUAACACGUAUGCAACCUGCCCUCCGCAGGGGGAUAACCCGGAGAAAUCCGGACUAAUACCGCGUGGUACAUCUGUGGGGCAUCCCACGGGUGUUAAAAGGAAGCGAUUCCGGCGGAGGAUGGGCAUGCGGCGCAUUAGCUUGUUGGCGGGGUAACGGCCCACCAAGGCGACGAUGCGUAGGGGUUCUGAGAGGAAGGUCCCCCACACUGGUACUGAGACACGGACCAGACUCCUACGGGAGGCAGCAGUGAGGAAUAUUGGUCAAUGGGCGGGAGUCUGAACCAGCCAAGUCGCGUGAGGGAAGACGGUCCUAUGGAUUGUAAACCUCUUUAGGCGGGGAGCAAUGCCGGGCACGCGCGCCCGGAGGGAGAGUACCCGCAGAAUAAGCAUCGGCUAACUCCGUGCCAGCAGCCGCGGUAAUACGGAGGAUGCGAGCGUUAUCCGGAUUUAUUGGGUUUAAAGGGUGCGUAGGCGGAUUUUUAAGUCAGCGGUAAAAUGUCCGGGCUCAACCCGGGCCGGCCGUUGAAACUGGGGAUCUUGAGUGGGCGAGAAGUAUGCGGAAUGCGUGGUGUAGCGGUGAAAUGCAUAGAUAUCACGCAGAACUCCGAUUGCGAAGGCAGCAUACCGGCGCCCGACUGACGCUGAGGCACGAAAGCGUGGGGAUCGAACAGGAUUAGAUACCCUGGUAGUCCACGCAGUAAACGAUGAAUGCUAGUUGUCCGGU
rnacentral:rRNA from 1 species